ACUGAAACAGACGAGCAUAUACCACAGUCGACAUCUGACAGUUUCUACAGUAUAGUUGCAGUGUUCAGUGGAAAAUAUUCAAUUAAGUAUUUAUAGGCGAAAUUCACACAGCAUGAACGUGAUCAAAUGUUUGAAUGUGUUUUGCAAAAACAAGACCUUAUAGUUUUAAAAAUAUGUGAUAACAUUUACACAAAUAACAACUGCGGUUACAUGUUAUCAUCCGACUACAUUCGGACUUUUAGCAUUGUGGCUUGUCAUAUCUUUGGAGGUUAAUAUUAACAAAAAUAACGUCUGCACUCUUUUCUUAUCAACCAUACACACCCGGCAUGUUAACAAACAACUUAAAAUAUUUUUGUAAAUAUUUCAAAUUAUUCGAUUUUUCAUAAUUUUGUACAAAUAUUUGUAUCUUUGGAACGGAUAAUCAGAAAUCAAUGUAUGACCCAUCAAAUUAAAGGAUUUUGAAUGACGAAUUACGUUGUGAUGUCUGUUUUAACACAAUGUUCUGUAUAAGGCCUUUUUUUUUUUUUGUACCAUAUAAGUACAUUUUGUGUCAAUAUAGUACAUUGAGAAUUUGUAGUUUUUUGUCGUUUUCAGCCAUAAAUAAUGACCGUAACACACUUGGUCAGUGAUUUUCUUAAUAUACAUGAAAAGACCUUUCUACUGAUAUAUUGCACGGAGCACUUGGUGCAAAAUUGAGCGAAUUAGGAUUUGCUAGAGAUCAAACUGCGAUAAGAGAUUUUUCUAUGCUAAUGGCUUUGUUUUAACGUCAAUAACAAUAAAUAAGCAUUUACAGCUCAACCAAGUUAUCCCUUAGGCCGUUAUGGCAAUGUACCAUGUAUCUUCGGAACGGAUAAUCAGAAAUCAAUGUGUGACCCAUCAAAUUAAAGGAUUUUGAAUGAUGAAUUACGUUGCGGUGUCUGUUUUAACGCCAUGUCAUGUAUAACGCCCUUUGGACACAUUAUCGUUUAUUAUUUGCCUGAUAUGUCGAAUCUUAUCAUGUAGCACCUCAAAUUACAGGGUUUUGAAUGACAAAUUACGUUGUGAUGUCGGUUUUAACAACAUGUCACAUAUAACGCCUUUUUGACACAUUAUCGUUUAUUAUUUCCCUGAUAUGUCGAAUCUUAUCAUGUAGCACCUCAAAUUACAGGGUUUUGAAUGACAAAUUACGUUGUGAUGUCGGUUUUAACAACAUGUCACAUAUAACGCCUUUUUGACACAUUAUCGUUUAUUAUUUCCCUGAUAUGUCGAAUCUUAUCAUGUAGCACCUCAAAUUACAGGGUUUUGAAUGACAAAUUACGUUGUGAUGUCGGUUUUAACAACCUGUUAUGUAUAAGGCCUUUUUGACCCUCUAUCUUAUAUUAUUUACCUGAUAUGUUGAAUCUUAUCAUGUAGCACCUCAAAUUACAGGAUUUUGAAUGACAAAUUACGUUAAGAUGUCUGUUUUAACAACCUGUUAUGUAUAAGGCCUUUUUGACCCUCUAUCUUAUAUUAUUUACCUGAUAUGUUGAAUCUUAUCAUGUAGCACCUCAAAUUACAGGAUUUUGAAUGACAAAUUACGUUAAGAUGUCUGUUUUAACAACCUGUUAUGUAUAAGGCCUCUUUGGCACUCUAUCAUAUGCUUUAUGUGAUUAUUUAUAAAUUGAUUCUUAUAUUAUGGAUCAGUGUAUUGUUGUAUGCAAACAAGGAUGGAUGUGUUUUUUAAUGUGUGUGCUACUGCUGCGUUGCAUGGCAACAGCAGAUACCUUUUCCUUUUUAAGGUUUUUUUUAACCGCAUAAGUGAGUGGAUAAAUGAAAAAAGUUUUAUUUUUAUCAUUUCUUUAUCUCUUCAUUCAUUUUAUUAUACCCCAUAUUUCUAUUGGGCGAUAUCAAAUAGGAUUAAUAACCAUGGCAGUUUCAUGCAUCUUUAUGUAUUGUCAUUGUAAGCUACACCAUCUAUUAUUUACAAGUACAUUAAACGUGUAAGAAAUAAGACAAGAUAUAUUUUAUAUAAAUUUAUUAUGGAUAUCUAAACAUUACAUUAUAAUUCAUUAAGCCGUGAUUAAUACAUUUGCUUUUUAAAAAAAGCCGUUCAGAUUCUUCGUUGGAGCAGAACGCAGUGAAUUCAUUAUUUUUCUUUAUGUGAUGUAUAAGUUUGCAUGCAUAUCCUCUUCUCCGAUGAUUAGGUAAAGUGUAUACGUAUUCUAAUACUCUUGGUACAUCAUGUUGUCCAAGUGGAUCAAAGUCACGUUUCGAUAAGAGUACAAAUGAUGCUGGUACUCCGCUGACAUAAAGGAUGUAGCAGGUAACUUUUGUGUUUGUCAUCCAUUGAUCAAUAAGUAUAUCAUCUACAU